rnacentral:rRNA from 1 species
GACGAACGCUGGCGGCGUGCUCAACACAUGCAAGUCGAGCGGUAAGGCUCCUUCGGGAGUACACGAGCGGCGAACGGGUGAGUAACACGUGAGCAAUCUGCCCUUCACAUCGGAAUAACUUCGGGAAACCGAAGCUAAUACCGAAUACGACCAUCGGAGGCAUCUCCUGAUGGUGGAAAGCUCCGGCGGUGGAGGAUGAGCUCGCGGCCUAUCAGCUUGUUGGUGGGGAACGGCCCACCAAGGCGACGACGGGUAGCCGGCCUGAGAGGGUGACCGGCCACACCGGGGAC